rnacentral:rRNA from 1 species
GGAGGGUGCAAGCGUUAAUCGGAAUUACUGGGCGUAAAGCGCACGCAGGCGGUCUGUCAAGUCGGAUGUGAAAUCCCCGGGCUCAACCUGGGAACUGCAUUCGAAACUGGCAGGCUAGAGUCUUGUAGAGGGGGGUAGAAUUCCAGGUGUAGCGGUGAAAUGCGUAGAGAUCUGGAGGAAUACCGGUGGCGAAGGCGGCCCCCUGGACAAAGACUGACGCUCAGGUGCGAAAGCGUGGGGAGCAAACAGGAUUAGAUACCCUGGUAGUCCACGCUGUAAACGGUGGAUGCUGGAUGUGGGGACCAUUCCACGGUCUCCGUGCCGGAGCCAACGCGUUAAGCAUCCCGCCUGGGGAGU